GGGGCUAUAGCGCAGCUGGUAGCGCAUCUGCUUUGCAAGCAGAGGGUCGCCGGUUCGAACCCGGCUAGCUCCACCA
rnacentral:tRNA from 12 species